GAGAAACCUGAAUGUGUCUCUUAUUUUAUCAUUUCUCCAGUUGAGACUAGAAAGGGAUGAAGCAUAAUAGCAUAUACUGCCUACCUCAAAGAGGGUGCUGCUGGCUUCAAAUGCUGACCAGAUUGUGCUGCUACCAGCAGCUGGCCAAAUGACAAGGUACAUUAUAAUUAUGUGGCUGAGACUGAAAUGCUCUUAAGGCCUAUGUGACUAGCCUAAUGGACUCCACCAAAACCCACCAAGGGCACUAGACCUCACAACCAAAGACCAUAGCUGGAUAUUACAUAUGGGGAGUUGCAGUCACUGGCAAUUUACCAGCAUGCUGCCAGAAGCUGAAGAAUAAACUGUGCCUUCAAAACAAUGCAUCUCUUGGCUGGAUUCUAUUGUAAUCAACACUUUAAUGCCACUACUUUUUUUUUUUUUUUUUUUCUUCUGAGCUCAUCGGAACAGAGCUGUUGAAAAUAGCUUGACAUUUCUCCUUUGCCUCCUGACAUUAAUCAUGGUUAAUUAAGUGACAAUAAAGUUAGGGCUAAUGCAAACAGGCAUUAAUUCUUGUCAUCUCCCUGUUCUCAGGAGUAUUGAAAGUUGGACAAGCAAAGAGAAACAACACUGAAAAUGUAUCCUAAGAAAAAAAAACAUUCAAUUAACAUCAACAUUGGAGGUCUUGUCAGAUAUCUGUUAUAACAUAUGCUACAGUUUUUUACCAAUAACUGCAUGUCAGAAAACUCCUGUGUCUACUCAGAUGUAAGACUGAGGUCUACUUUUACAAGCGUGGGGAUAUAAGCUCUCAUAACCUUACUGCUAGGUGAACGGCAGGCAGAUGUAGACAAAUGUAUCUGGUUCGUUUUUCUAGAAACUCUUAUCAAAAACACUGAUGUGCUUCUUCUCAAAUGUAGGAAGCUAAAUCAAGGGUGUUCAUGAGUGAGUAAUAUUUCCUGAGUGGCAAGUAACAGAUUUGGAAAAAAAGGUUUAAGCAAACAAUUCCUUUUUUUUUUUUUUCCUUCUCUCCAGGUGAGUUGAGAAAAAUAAUAAUUAAAAGAUCAGCUUAGAAAGGCCAAAUAACUUUCACAAGAUGAAACUACUGCUGAUCAAAGGUGUGUUGGCCUUGGAAUAGUUCUGAAAUGCCUCUUUCAGCUGACUGAGGAGGCAGCUAGUUGCUUACCCACCUAUACACCACUCACAGCUCACUGCCUAGGCCUGGAGGAUAGACAAGUAGAUCUUUUUCUUAAAGGAUAUGAGAUCACAGAAUGGUUUGUGUUGAAAGGGAUCUCAAAGGCCUCUAGUUCCACCACCUGCCAGGGACAGGAAACGUUUCACUAGGCCAGGUUUCCCAAAGUUCCAUUCAGCUUGGCCUUAAAUAUCUUCAGGGAUGGGGUAUCCACAGCUUCUCUGGACAAUUUGUUUUAAUGUCACACCACCCUCAUAAAGAUUUCCCUCCUUGUAUAUAAUCUAAAUCUACCUUUGUUUUUUUUUGUAUGAAACCAUUACACUUUUACCUGUCACCACACUCCUCGAUGAAGAGUUCUUCCCCAUUUUUCCUGUAGGCCCCUUUGAAUAUUGGAAGGCAGCUAUAAGGUCUUCCAAGAGCCUUCUCUUCUCUGGGCUAAAUAGCUCAAACUUUCUCAGCCUGUCUUUGUAGGAGAGGUCCCCCAGCCCUUUGAUAAUCUCUGUGGCCCUUUUUGGACCUGCUGUAACAGCUCCACAUUUUUCUUGUUCUGGGGGCCUCAAAUCUGGAAGCAGUAAUCCAGGUAUGGCCCCGCAGGAGCAGAGUAGAAAGCGGUGAUCACCUCCCUCAGCCUGCUGGCCAUACUUCUUUUAAUGCAGCCUAGGAUACAGUUGGCCUUCUGGGUUGUAAGCACACAAUGCUGGCCAGUGUCAAGCUUUCCAUCUGUCAGCACCCCCAAGUUCUUAUCCAUAGGACUGCUCUUUAUCUACUCAUUGCUCAGCCUGUAUUGAUGUUUGGGAUUGUCUCAACUCAGGUGCAGGACCUAGCACUUGGGCCUUGCUGAAUUGCAUAUUGUUCACAUGGGCCCAGGUGUUGAGUCUGUCAAGGUACUUCUGGACGGCAUUCUUUCCCUCCAGCGUAGUGAUGACAUUAACUAUUUCAGCUAAAGUAGUUACAGCUCCAUUUCUAGAUACAAGGUCCACACAGUAUCUCUGGCUCUAAAUUUGUUCUCCAUGGCUUCAUCUCAUUCCAACCUUUUGCCACCACCAAACCAAACAUGCUUCAUCACUUACUAGCCAGCCUCACAGAAUUACUUUUGUGUAGUAGCCAUUACUAGCCACUGCUCUUUCAAAGCUUGCUAGUGCUGUGCCCCCACAGCAGUCAUAGAAUUAUAGAGUUUUUUGAGUUAGAAGGGCCCCUUAAAGGUCACCCAGUCUAAUUCCCCUGCAAUGAACAGUCACCCACUGUUCACCAUCUCUUGGGGCUCUCUUCCGGAGAUCUUCACAGUGCCUCUGCAGCACUUCUGCCUGCUGGCCUGGGGCUCUGUAGGACUGUCUCUUUCCACAAGGAGAAGGUGCUAGAAGCUGGGGUUCAGCUGCCUUUCUUUACUACCACAUGGUACCCUGGAGACAUUUGUCUUCCUCAUAUGUUAUCAUUUCAGAUAGAUAUCAAAUCAUGCACUAGUUUCCUGAACAUUAACUGAGACUUUUUUUCCCAGUAAAAAGAUCAGAUGACAUGAAAGGCGUCAACUAUCCAGUCAUCUCCCCUUUUUUUUCUGACACAUCCUUGGAAAGAGUUCCUACACAUCACUUUGACCUCUUCUACUGAGAAAUUCCAAAUGUUUCUCAGUGUUGAUUCAGAAGUUGCAACUACAGCAUCCACCAGGUUCCCUCUGCAGCACCUUCUAUCCCCACAGUCCCCACGUGAGAGUGAAGGCUGGAGCAGGGCUGGAGCAUACAAGUCGCUGCACCUCUUCUGACAAGUGCCAUUUCCUGGGAUCCUUACCAUUUCAGUGCACUUGAGAUUGCUUCAGUCCAGCAGAUGCACUGAGUCCAUGAAGAAAUUAAAAGCAGCCAAAGAUCAGACUCUUCAUUGAAGUGGCGCGAGUGGGAAUCACUUUGGAGGGAGAAAGCCAUAGCAGGAGGAGGAAGCAGCUCAUAUUUACCUUCUAGAUGCUAGACCCAAGGUGGAGAUCACAAUGCUGGCUCUAUGCCUUGAGAAGUGGCCAAAUAAAUCCAAAGAGGUCCACCAAGAAUUAUUUCCAUAAAGGCAACACCAUCUCACCAGGUAAAAGCCAUUUUUCAUCUGUCAAAAGUCAGAGGGAGAAUUUAAGAAACAUAGAAUUAAAAUUUACAUAAUUUUCUUCCUUGUGCUUUCUUAUAUUUACAUUUUACCAAGCUCAUUACUACUUGUGAGGUGUCUUUGCUUUAAAAAUAUAACAAGAGUAAUCAAUUAUGACUGCUAGCUAUUAGAUAAGGAGGUGACACUUGGGAGCAAUUUGGAUUGCUGAGUUCAUUUGAACAGUAUGCACUUGAACACAGAUAAUGUAACGUCAUUAACCUUGCCAUAAAAAAUAAAAGGUUACUGUUAUAGAAAAGGUCACUGUAUUUCAGAAAUAAAUAUCCAGAUCAAGGAUUUAAGGGUCAUAUUACCAGGCAACUGAUUAUACAUUCUUAAUGUGAGGCUGAUCCUGAUUUUACCACUGCUUUUGUGCAGAACGUGGUAUUAACUAUUUAGGUUGUCAAGACCUCACUGAAAUUAGUAGAAAUCCCAACUGGAAGGUAGGUAUAAGUGAGAGUUUUUAAAGAUAAAUAUAUUGUUUCAAGCAAUAAUAUUUAUAAUCUGCUGGCAUUUAAUUUUUAUCUGUGAUGUUGUUGCAUGAUUCUUUUGAUAAAGCUUUGCAUCCCAGAAUCAUGCAGUCUUGUCAGAAAUGCAACAUUCAUUAAAAAUGAAAUGACUCUCCC